GACGGAGGAUGCAAGUGUUAUCCGGAAUCACUGGGCGUAAAGCGUCUGUAGGUGGUUCGAAAAGUCCACUGUUAAAAGUUGAAGCUUAACUUCAAAGAUGCCGUGGAAACUUUCAAACUAGAGUGUGGUAGGGGUAGAGGGAAUUUCCAGUGGAGCGGUGAAAUGCGUAGAUAUUGGAAAGACCACCGAUGGCGAAGGCACUCUACUGGGCCAUUACUGACACUGAGAGACGAAAGCUAGGGGAGCAAGUGGG
rnacentral:rRNA from 1 species